rnacentral:rRNA from 1 species
CGCCUCUUGUUAAUAUAUAAGAGGUCCUGCCUGCCCAGUGAUUAAUUUAACGGCCGCGGUACACUAACCGUGCAAAGGUAGCAUAAUCAAUUGUCCUUUAAAUAGGGACUAGCAUGAACGGCACCACGAGGGUUUAACUGUCUCCCCAUUUUAAUCAAUGAAAUUAAUCUUCCCGUGAAGAAGCGGGAAUAAAAUUAUAAGACGAAAAGACCCUAUGAAGCUUUAAACUUAUUACCACUUAUCUUAACCAUAUAACAACUCACGAUAAGACUGUUUAAAUAGUUUUCGGUUGGGGCGACCCUGGAGAAAAGUAAAUCCUCCAGAUUGAAAAAGAAAUAACCCUUAUAUAAGAACCACAAUUCAAAUAAACAAAAAUUUGACAAAACUGACCCAGAAUUUACUGAUCAGCGAACCAAGUUACUCUAGGGAUAACAGCGCAAUCCAUUUUAAGAGCUCCUAUCGACAAAUGGGUUUACGACCUCGAUGUUGGAUCAGGGUAUCCUAGCAGCGCAGCAGUUGCUAAAGGUUCGUUUGUUCAACGAUUAAUAC